rnacentral:rRNA from 1 species
GAAGCGUAGUAAUGCGUGAAGCUAACUUGUACUAAUUGGCUGAUUGUCUUGACCAUAUAAUCUGAGUUACUUCAGAU